rnacentral:rRNA from 1 species
CCUACGGGAGGCUGCAGUGGGGAAUAUUGCGCAAUGGGCGAAAGCCUGAUGCAGCGACGCCGCGUGAGGGAUGAAGGUCUUCGGAUCGUAAACCCCUGUCAGCAGGGAAGAACGGUCACUGUGCUAAUCAUCCGUGAAUUGACGGUACCUGCCCAGGAAGCACCGGCUAACUCCGUGCCAGCAGCCGCGGUAAUACGGAGGGUGCGAGCGUUAAUCGGAAUUAUUGGGCGUAAAGCGCUCGUAGGCGGUAUGUCAAGUCUAGGGUGAAAUCCCUGCGCUUAACGUGGGAACUGCCUUUGAAACUGGCAAACUGGAGUGUGGGAGAGGAGAGUGGAAUUCCAGGUGUAGGGGUGAAAUCCGUAGAUAUCUGGAGGAACAUCAGUGGCGAAGGCGACUAUCUGGCACAUAACUGACGCUGAGGAGCGAAAGCGUGGGUAGCAAACAGGAUUAGAUACCCCAGUAGUC